GGUGCGCGCAGGUACCGACGCGGCGGGGGCAUCGACACCGGUGCCCGGUGGUAGGCGACGAGGUGGCUCAGGUCCUCCAAGCGGCAGCUGACGAUGUAGCAGAAGCGCGUAGUCUAGUUCAGUUCGAAGUGGCGUAGUGGCUCUAGCUGAGGAAGUUGGAAGCUGGUAGCAGUAGGUGAUGCAGCUAAACGGCGGCAGCGACGUUGUAGCAGAAGUGGCCCUGGAGGGGCUCGAAGGGAUGUGGCUCUGGCUGCGGCGACGAUGGGUCAUGCUGAUGCCACAACUACUGGGUAGGAAGAAAGGUCUCGUUGGUCUACAAACUCGGGUCCUAGGUCUGCGGUGGCAACUGCUGCCGAUGAUGAUGUGACCUCCACGGAUGAUGAUGCACGUCGGGCGACUGCUGCUGGUCCUCAUCAGAUCCUACUAGGGUCCGUCCUCCGGACACGGAGAAAGCUGGACAUAAGGUCCAACACGAUCGGAAGAAUUCCUUUUAACAAAUUGAAUACAGACAUGAGUCUAUAACAACGAUGGCGACUGAGCAGAUACUAGCUCGAGAACAUAAGCUCGGGAGCUCCGGGGAUCUAACAUUAUACUACG
rnacentral:rRNA from 1 species